CUCUCUCUCUCUCUUGUUGCGAUGCUCACCUUUACUCACACUUCAAAAGAAAUCUUGAGUCUGCCGCCCGAACAAACAGCUGUAUGAUCUCAUAUGGCCAUUUCUUGGUUUUCUGGAAGAUCCGGAACAACCAUAAAAGUAGACAUAUCUUGAAAAUUGGCCAAACGAUUCAAACGAAAUGUAUUUAUGAGCUUUAAAACAGUAUACCAUCAUUGCCUCGGCAUGAUAUCGAAUGGGCAUUUCCUGGUCCUCCGGAAAAUCUGGACAUCCGUAAAAAUGAAAUACCAACAAUUGACUAACAGAGCUGCGAUUCCUUUCUAACAAUUUGCAUGCGUGGUUUCAGAAUCGUAUCAAUGUCGUCGCUGUCGUUUUGUGGUCCUUCGAAAAAUCCGGAAAAAAUGUUAUUUAUUGGUUUUGAGUAGGCUUUAGCAACGCCGUCAGGCAUUACGCAUCCGAAUUCAUUAGAUUUGAUUUGCUAAUUCAUAUUGCUGCUUAACGAACUGAGUUAAAUUUGAGGAACUGGUUCGAUCGAGGAUUUUUAAACAGCUUGUAGUGAUGUCCACGUGGUUAAACCAUCAUUCACCCUUAUUCUUGUUUACGACCGUAUCUGCCUUUCGAACGAAUGUAUCUAUUCGAAUGUGUUCGAAAACUGUAUUCUUGUUUUCGUUCGUAUGCGUAUCGAAUACGAUUCGUAUGCGAAAAAGUAUUGCCGCACGAGCACCUUCUUUCGAAACAAUUCUAAGCUGUCAAAAAGGUGAAAAACGAAAACAAAACAGGGAAAAUCCUAAUUUUUAUUUAUCAGCAACCACGGAUUCAUCGUUUGUGAUUCCUGAGUUGGUUUUAUUUGUGGUGUAACUUGGACGGCUAGGACCGCUUACGGUCCUUCUCGCGAGUGGUUCCUGAUUUGUUUAUUGGAAAUCCGGAUUUUCCCGCUUUUCGUUAUUUGAGUGGUAAAAGUGUCGUUUUCAAUCGUAUCUGGUAGUAGGGUAAGGAGACGAAACGGUCAGUGACAAAAGUCCUUCCAAAUCAUCCCGCGGGGAUCCAGUCGGUGGUAUUUUGACCUUGAAGAAAUUCCCCAUGAGGAAUGGGCACAUUGAUACUGGACAUUGUAGCAGACGAGGAUGUGAGGGAACAUAUGAGACGGCAGCGAUCCUGUCUCCGUAAACGGUUGGAUAUUUUAGAGAUGCCUGAUUAAACGUUCAUCAGUUUUGAGUAAAAAAACUGAAAUAUCGCUUCCUUGAAGAUGAAUUCAGUUGAACGCAAUCCUGCUGCUUCUCAACGCUGAAAGUAGUUAUCAACAUGGCGCGGAACGAACUUCGUAGCCGUAGCUCAUCCGACUUUUCCAACGAUCCUUUCUGAAAUGGAUGAUGUCCUAGACAAAAAUGUUCAACGGUGGAUAACGCUCUAGAUGCCAGAAGAAGUAAUUCACGGGACCUUAUCCAGGAAUCUUCGUUUGAACUCACCUAGAAAAAAAGUACCUAAAAGUACCCUCUGGUAGAGGAGAAGAUGGUAGGUCCCCUUAAUUUUGUUUCCAUGUGAAAUUAUUGAAAUAAAUAAUUACCAAAUAUGAA